AAAAGAAACCAACAGGGAUUGCCUCAGUAACGGCGAGUGAAGCGGCAAAAGCUCAAAUUUGAAAUCUAGCACUUUCAGUGUUCGAGUUGUAAUUUGAAGAAGGUAACUUUGGUUUUGGCUCUUGUCUAUGUUCCUUGGAACAGGACGUCACAGAGGGUGAGAAUCCCGUGCGAUGAGAUGCCCAAUUCCAUGUAAAGUGCUUUCGAAGAGUCGAGUUGUUUGGGAAUGCAGCUCUAAGUGGGUGGUAAAUUCCAUCUAAAGCUAAAUAUUGGCGAGAGACCGAUAGCGAACAAGUACAGUGAUGGAAAGAUGAAAAGAACUUUGAAAAGAGAGUGAAAAAGUACGUGAAAUUGUUGAAAGGGAAGGGCUUGAGAUCAGACUUGGUAUUUUGCGUUCCCUUCCUUUUUGGUUGGGUUCCUCGCAGUUUACUGGGCCAGCAUCGGUUUGGAUGGUAGGAUAAUGACAUUGGAAUGUAGCUUUACUUCGGUGAAGUGUUAUAGACUUUGUUGAUACUGCCUAUCUAGACCGAGGACUGCGUCUUUGACUAGGAUGCUGGCGUAAUGAUCUUAAGCCGCCCGU
rnacentral:rRNA from 1 species